UUAAAAAAUUCUAUUUUUUCCUUCCCAUCAAAUAUAUGUUUUGCUCAUCUUUCAGUGUUUAAAUCUAUAAGAAAACUACAUAAAACUACAUUUAGCAUCAUAUGUUUAUAUCCUUUAAGGAAUUGUAAUAUUUUUAUCACACAUGAUAAACACAAAAUUAUGGACUUUUACAUACAAAAUUAUAAUUUUUUUUUUUAUGGGGAAUAAGAGGUCAUCCCUCCCUCCUAAAAAAAUAGUCAAACUAUGUAUUUCAAUCCUAAAACAAUUUUUUUUAAGUCAUGAUAAGUCUUGAUAAUUUUCCUCCAAUUGAUUAUCUCUAGAAAGGUAUUUAUACACCUGCACUCAUCCUAUCAAUGGCAUCAGAACUUGGACCGAUUUGGAUGGCUAAUGCAAAAUAAAUAAUUUUGUGAUAAAUUUGAAGUGUUAGUGACAAGACUUUGGUCACAAGAGAACCUCCAGUUUGUGUCAAACCAAUUCCAUGUGGUUUUAGAAAAUAAUACGUAAAAUCCGACUAUUCAGCAACCAAUAUGAUGACAUGUGAUGAUAUGAAAAGGAGAGCAAGGCUUAGUAUGCAAAGUCCUUUGCACCAUAACCACUAUAAUACGCUAUAGUGAUUGUAAUAUUUAGUGUACCCCAUAACUUGCUAAACAUUUUGAUUUAUGUACCAUUAAAAAUGUAUAAAUUAUCACAUGUAGUACAUAACAUACAGUAUAUCCAGGCUCUACUCUAUUUUUACUUUUUGCAUAUGCUCUUUUUUUGUGAUACUCUCAGAUUGCACAUCAAUAACAAAAUAGUUAUUCAUAACUGUGUUCAUUUCAAUUUACAAAUGGUUGUGUGUUUUGUUAAGGGACACAUGAAAUCAUGAUUAGUUAUACAGGACUUUUACAGGACAGAGUUCUAAAAGAUAAACAAAAAGUUAAACAUUUUUACGGGUUUCCAUGGUAAUUUUAGAAAUUGCCCCAAUAUGUUAAAAGUUAGAUGUAGUUAGUAUUAGAGUGAAUAUUUAUAUAAUUCAAUGACAGAGAGAUGUAUGACCCUUUCCACCAUGAUUAAUUGGCUAACCAUUUGGUAUGUGAAAUGUCAAUAAUUAGUUAAUGACGAUAUUUGCAAAAUUUGCUUUUUUAACUGCAUAAAUAUGGACGCAUUUAUUCCUAGUUGUCUUCUUAUUUUUCAAAUUUGAGUUCGCUCAAUAUAAAAGUAAAAUUUAUUGACUUUUUUUGUCACUUCGCUUGUUUAACACAGAAAUGUUGAUGGUUUAAAAACAAAGGAUUACAUCUACAUCUGUAUCUUUGUCUUUUCUAAGUAGUCUUUAUUGACAUUUCAUUACAAUUGUAAAAUGUAAUGAGGUUAUGGAAAAACAAAAAGGAAUGUCUCACAUUUACUUGUUUUUAUAAAUGUGAUUUUUUUUUUAAAGAGAAUUUCAUUUUUUAUUUUUUUAAAAACUUUAUAUUUUUGUUUUGUUGUCUUGAAUGCUAUACUAAACAAGCAUUGAAAUGAGGGAACUCGGAGGGUAACAAUUUUCUCUUUAAUAGGCUAUUACCUUGAAGCUUAGCAGGCAGUUCUGGAAAGAACUGUCCCCUAUUUGGAACUGGUAAAUUCUGUAGUAUCAAGUGCUCAACAUUUUGAAGCUCUUUAAAUCCAGAAUCAUCUUUUUUUGUUUGUUUUUGAGAUUUCUUUCAAAACUCUUUUUAUUUUUUCUUCUUAUAUUUUCAAAAUAAGCAAUUGACGAUAUAAUUACAGUUGUAUUGGCUGAACUGUUAGAUAUUGUUAAGAAUUACAAUCUUGCUUUGUAAAAUUCACUCUCUAAAGACGUUUUUACAACCCAUUUUAUCUAAUUAAACAUUGAAACGGAUCACUAUAAAUUUAAUUGAACAGGACCAAAAUUGUUGUCAUAAAUACAGCUUCAAUUAUAUUUAAGAAAUUGCUUAUUUAAUGUUGAAAAAUAAAUGUUCUGUUUAUAAUUACGUUUUGAAUUAUGAAUCCAAAUUUUACAGAGACUAAGCUUGGGACUUAUAAACCUUUUUACAAAUCUGUCAAUGUGUUUCUAAAUAAAAAAUAAAAAAGCAAUGACAUUUAAGAAAAUGUAAUUCCGAGAGGGCCUGCUUAAUUUAUUCAAGUGUACCGUUUGGUCAAUGAGCUACUUCAGAUACUUUGACCUAUGGAACUAAAAGGGAUAAAAGCCUUCUUACAGCCAAGAUUUAGAUUUUAUGAUGUUGAAAAAAUAAAAUUUUGAUGCCAUAAUUGUCUCAAAAUAAACAUUUUGAAAGAUGUGGUUUAUAGGGGUUGUUUAAUUAUGUAAUAUGGCCCAAAUGGCAAUAUGUUCUCCACUCCUGGGGCUUUCGUAGAACAGUGGAUGUUAGGUUUAAAUUUCUGUUUUCUUUGAUGAAGCUUUCAAUAAAAAAAAUUAACAUAAAA